rnacentral:lncRNA from 10 species
CUGGAAUCCUUUCGACUUUUAUGAAUGCAAGAGCUUGUCACAUAAGCCACAAACCACAUGUUGAGCCUGAAAGAAAACCCAGAGACAGCGAGGUAUAAAGAGGAGCUGAGAAGUGAGUGCUAUCAGGCAACAGAACCCAGAAGCCGAAGCUCUGGGCUUGGGAAUCAGAUGGCUGGGAAAAUUCUGGAACUCAGUUAUAAGCAGUGAAGACUGUUUCCCACUCUGAAGCAGCCCACGGUUUUCAAGGAUGGGUGGAGAAGCCAUUCAGUGAACAUGAAGUGACAAAUAUG